GACGAACGCUGGCGGCGUGCCUAAUACAUGCAAGUAGAACGCUGAAGGAGGAGCUUGCUUCUCUGGAUGAGUUGCGAACGGGUGAGUAACGCGUAGGUAACCUGCCUGGUAGCGGGGGAUAACUAUUGGAAACGAUAGCUAAUACCGCAUAAUAGUAGAUGUUGCAUGACAUUUGCUUAAAAGGUGCAAUUGCAUCACUACCAGAUGGACCUGCGUUGUAUUAGCUAGUUGGUGAGGUAACGGCUCACCAAGGCGACGAUACAUAGCCGACCUGAGAGGGUGGUCGGCCACACUGGGACUGAGACACGGCCCAGACUCCUACGGGGAGCAGCAGGAGGGAAUCUUCCGGAAUGGACGGAAAGUUGGACGGACAAAGCCGCGGGGAGGGAGAAGGGUUUCGGGUCGUAAAGCUCUGUUGUAAGGGGAAAAAGAGUGUGGGAGGGGAAAGUUCACACUGGUACGGGUUCUUACCAGAAAGGGACGGCUAACUACGUG
rnacentral:rRNA from 1 species